AGAUACGGAAAUCGGAAUGCACAAUCUUCCAACCAUCGAUGCAAUGCAUCAUGAAAGUGAUGUAUGAAGGAUGUAGCGGGUCUCCACCGGGGGCUUGCAAUGAUCAUCAUGUAUAGUCGUGUAUUAUGUG
rnacentral:misc_RNA from 1 species